rnacentral:tRNA from 1 species
GCCUUCGUGGUGUAGUGGUCAGCACGCUCGGCGCGUAUUCGAGAGGUCCGUGGUUCGAAUCCAGUCGAGGGCA